rnacentral:rRNA from 1 species
AGAGUUUGAUCCUGGCUCAGGAUGAACGCUAGCGACAGGCUUAACACAUGCAAGUCGAGGGGCAUCAUGAGGUAGCAAUACCUUGAUGGCGACCGGCGCACGGGUGAGUAACGCGUAUGCAACCUGCCCGAUACCGGGGUAUAGCCCAUGGAAACGUGGAUUAACACCCCAUAGUACUUUUAUCCUGCAUGGGAUGUGAGUUAAAUGUUCAAGGUAUCGGAUGGGCAUGCGUCCUAUUAGUUAGUUGGCGGGGUAACAGCCCACCAAGACGAUGAUAGGUAGGGGUUCUGAGAGGAAGGUCCCCCACAUUGGAACUGAGACACGGUCCAAACUCCUACGGGAGGCAGCAGUGAGGAAUAUUGGUCAAUGGACGAGAGUCUGAACCAGCCAAGUCGCGUGAGGGAAGACUGCCCUAUGGGUUGUAAACCUCUUUUAUAAGGGAAGAAUAAGUUCUACGUGUAGAAUGAUGCCUGUACCUUAUGAAUAAGCAUCGGCUAACUCCGUGCCAGCAGCCGCGGUAAUACGGAGGAUGCGAGCGUUAUCCGGAUUUAUUGGGUUUAAAGGGUGCGUAGGCGGUUUAUUAAGUUAGUGGUUAAAUAUUUGAGCUAAACUCAAUUGUGCCAUUAAUACUGGUAAACUGGAGUACAGACGAGGUAGGCGGAAUAAGUUAAGUAGCGGUGAAAUGCAUAGAUAUAACUUAGAACUCCGAUAGCGAAGGCAGCUUACCAGACUGUAACUGACGCUGAUGCACGAGAGCGUGGGUAGCGAACAGGAUUAGAUACCCUGGUAGUCCACGCCGUAAACGAUGCUCACUGGUUCUGUGCGAUAUAUUGUACGGGAUUAAGCGAAAGUAUUAAGUGAGCCACCUGGGGAGUACGUCGGCAACGAUGAAACUCAAAGGAAUUGACGGGGGCCCGCACAAGCGGAGGAACAUGUGGUUUAAUUCGAUGAUACGCGAGGAACCUUA